UACGUAGGGUGCGAGCGUUGUCCGGAAUUAUUGGGCGUAAAGAGCUUGUAGGCGGUUUGUCGCGUCUGCUGUGAAAAUCCGGGGCUCAACACCGGACUUGCAGUGGGUACGGGCAGACUAGAGUGUGGUAGGGGAGACUGGAAUUCCUGGUGUAGCGGUGAAAUGCGCAGAUAUCAGGAGGAACACCGAUGGCGAAGGCAGGUCUCUGGGCCACUACUGACGCUGAGAAGCGAAAGCAUGGGGAGCGAACAGGAUUAGA
rnacentral:rRNA from 1 species